ensembl:lncRNA
CUGCUCCACAGAGGUCAGGGGCCUGUAUCCUCAAUCUGUCCUGCUCCACAGAGGUCAGGGGCCUGUAUCCUCAAUCUGUCCUGCUCCACAGAGGUCAGGGGCCUGUAUCCUCAAUCUGUCCUGCUCCACAGAGGUCAGGGGCCUGUUGGGAUGCAUCCUCAAUCUGUCCUGCUCCACAGAGGUCAGGGGCCUGUUGGGAUGCAUCCUCAAUCUGUCCUGCUCCACAGAGGUCAGAGGUCAGGGGCCUGUUGGGAUCCAUUCCAAUAGAAGUCGGUCAGUUCAGGAAAUAAACUGAAAUUCCAAUUCAAUAAUUACAAUUAUUUCUCAAUAAACUGAAAAUGAGAAGCUAUUUAUUUCAGAAAGGUUUUUCCGUUUUCAUUAGGAAUCAGAUGGUUUUGGAGUCGGGGGCGAGUUUUCAGAAAGGUAUUUUCUCUGUUGAUGCUGUCAUCUAGAUGAUCUGCUGUGUCCAGUUUAAAUGAAUCCAUGUUACAGUGUCGACGGACCACCGAGACACCACCUAUCCUAAUUAGAUAUCUAGCAUGCACCUGACACCUGUGCUAAUUAGAUAUCUACAUGCACCUGACACCUGUGCUAAUUAGAUAUCUAGCAUGCACCUGACACCUGUGCUAAUUAGAUAUCUAGCAUGCACCUG